AUCAUACUCCCUCUGUUCCGAAUUACUUGUCGCAAAUAUGGAUGUAUCUAGAUGUAUUUUAGUUCUAGAUACAUCCAUUUCUGCGACGAGUAAUUUAGAACGGAGGGAGUACCUG
rnacentral:pre_miRNA from 1 species